ensembl:lncRNA
CGCAAAUUCAGAUAAUGGAGGCGGAUCUAGCACUGCUAUCAUCGACAAAGCGAGCUUUGUUGCACCGGACUUAAAAUAAAACGCUUUAGUGUCUUUGACUGAACAACCUCCAUUAGCUCACUGAAAGGAAAAUAGAAAGAUUAUCCUGACGGUAUUGCACAGGAAGACGGAAGACAUCGACAAGGAGGACUGCCGCUUUCUCUUUACACUGGCAAACAAAGCCGAUGCUUCAAUGGGAGCCUGUUGAGUGGUUAUUACAAGACGGGACAUCUAGCUGAUAAACCACAGGGGAAGAGUGGCUGUGAUGCACGCAAGACCAGCGCGGAGCUUUGAUCUGAAAACUGAAAAAACAUCUUGAAGAUUUGGAUGGCAGCAGACAUUUUACCACCAGGUUUCCAAUCAGAUGUAAUUCACAUUUCUCUGGACAGUCCAUAGAUGUUUAAAAUAAGGCUACAGUAAGCCUUAGUUACUACUCCGUAUUGAGGAUGGCGCAUGGGUGGGAUUCAUAUUUCCAUAAUCCCCCACCUCUACCAUCAGAUCCAGGGACUUUGAGAAGGACAUCUGAGUCAGAUGGGUGCCUUUCCCAUCAUAUUGAGGACUUCACUGGACAUCAUGGCUUUGCCAGCGCUGGUGCUUCACAUGAAGCCCCUGUCUUUAACUCGGACUUUAACACAAACUAUUGCUCAGACCCCAGUGUUGUGAAUUCCAGGUCAGAUUAUGUUUAUCAAAGAUACUGUGGUGAAACACAAUGGCAAGCUGAUGGAGAACAAAUGGGAAAGGAUUACUUGCAACGAUGUGAAAAUGGUAAUAUCCCGGAUUUUGCUGCAGACGGAUUGCAAACAUCUGACUCUUUUCCAUCAUCUUUUGGAACAGACUUUCAAGGACUUAAGGAAGAUUAUGAAAUGCCAAGUACAUCAUUUCUUGAGAACUACUCAGAUGUCAGUAGCUGCUCUGAUGCAGACGCUGGUGAAACAAGACCACCUUGUAAAUUCAUGGCAAGUAAGUCCUAUUCAAAUCCUAAAACUGAUGGUUCCGAAAAACAAGGCUCAUCAUCAUGGUUUUUUACUCAUACGGAUAAUAUGACUUUUCCGACUGAGAGUUUGUGUUCAGAUAUGUCGGAGACUGAUGUACUUUUAUCGUCAAAUUUGAAGGCACGACAAAACAUAGUUCAGUCUCCAGAGGAC